ACGGGAGGCAGCAGUGGGGAAUAUUGCACAAUGGGGGAAACCCUGAUGCAGCAACGCCGCGUGAAGGAAGACGGUCUUCGGAUUGUAAACUUUUGUUCUUAGUGAAGAUAAUGACGGUAGCUAAGGAGAAAGCCACGGCUAACUACGUGCCAGCAGCCGCGGUAAUACGUAGGUGGCAAGCGUUGUCCGGAAUUACUGGGUGUAAAGGGAGCGCAGGCGGGAAAUCAAGUUGGAUGUGAAAUGUCGGGGCUUAACCCCGGAACUGCAUCCAAAACUGAUUUUCUUGAGUGAAGUAGAGGUAGGCGGAAUUCCGAGUGUAGCGGUGAAAUGCGUAGAUAUUCGGAGGAACACCAGUGGCGAAGGCGGCCUACUGGGCCUUAACUGACGCUGAGGCUCGAAAGUGUGGGGAGCAAACAGGAUUAGAUACCCUGGUA
rnacentral:rRNA from 1 species